rnacentral:rRNA from 1 species
UACGAAGGGGGCUAGCGUUGCUCGGAAUCACUGGGCGUAAAGGGUGCGUAGGCGGGUCUUUAAGUCAGGGGUGAAAUCCUGGAGCUCAACUCCAGAACUGCCUUUGAUACUGAAGAUCUUGAGUUCGGGAGAGGUGAGUGGAACUGCGAGUGUAGAGGUGAAAUUCGUAGAUAUUCGCAAGAACACCAGUGGCGAAGGCGGCUCACUGGCCCGAUACUGACGCUGAGGCACGAAAGCCGUGGGGAGCAAACAGGG